UGGUCUUGAAGACACUGCAGUUGGAGCGCAAGCUGUUCUGUUUCGAUCCGUAGGAGAAUCCCAGGGUCGACCAUCGUCGUCCCCGUCGACGGCAUAGUCCGGUUCCUCGAGUUGUUCGAGGUGCUCAAGCUUGAUUCCAAGACCUCAGAGGCCUCUGUCAACAGAAAUCAGAGCUCAAUUAUUGUUCCUUCAGGAAGUUCUGACGAAGAAGGAUCGACAGCAUUUCAGAAUGUUUUACAAGAGAUACAUGGAAGAGACUUCAUGACUGUUCAGGAUACUAGAUUAGGUCAGCUGGAAGAUUCAAGCCCAGCUUGUGAUGGAAGUUGAUGCACUGACAGGAAGAGCCAACCGUAACAUUCUUGAUAGUAAUCAUAAUGAGAAGCUGUUUCAGAUUGGUUUAUUGCUUACAGGAACGUGAAUGGUUUACUGGUUUAUUCUGCGGUAUCCUCCCUCCCUCAUCUCUCCCUCUCAAAGGAUUCUACUGUUUCACUGGUUUGAAGGCACCUUUUCUCUGCUCUAAUGAAGCUAUGAAGCUCACUCAACGCAAUCCCAAGUGAGAGUUCAGCAGCAGUUGCUGAUUGAAGAAGUGUUGCUCGAGUAAGCUGCCAUCGAACUGUCCGGAGAAGUGUCUGCCGCUGUCUAAAUAACAUUCCAUCAAGCGCUUCAUGGAGUUCUCAGUCGCCGGGACGAAUGGCUCCGUUUGGGUUUGUUGUCGAUGAGCUGUGUUGGUGUCGCCAUUGAUUCUGCUGCUGCUACCAGUCGAGAACCGAGUUAAUCUUGGUUGAGCCAUGAAAGAGGUGUUCUCCGGUCGGGUCAUCGUGUCGAACAGGCGCGAGAGUGUGGAGUCGUCUUCGAGGGUAUCAGACACAGACGAAGAUUCCUGCAGCCUGAGCGAGCGUUGUCGCUCGAAGUUCUCCAGCGGUGGCACGGGCUGCAGAUGGCUGUUCUUCUUGUAGAUUCGGCACAGCACCCAGUCAUCCAACUGUACUUUUGGAACAGCAACAAGAAGACAUGAGAAAAAGCAGAGGAAUUGGGCAUC